AAGUUGAAAAGAACUUUGAAGAGAGAGUUCAAAAGGGCGUGAAACCGCUUAGAAUAAAACGGACGGAGCCGUCGUGGGCCCUCGGGAAUCAGUCUAUCGAUGCGCGAAGGUGUCGUAUGUCGGAACGUAAGCCCGACUACGGCAUUAUAAUGUAAGUAGCGUUCGAUGGGCGCAUUUCUCGAAGGUAAGCACUGCGACCGAUACGAAAGGCCAAUGAAACGUUUAGAUUGAGGGCGAGACCUCUCACGAGGAUUUCGUAACCAGUCUAUUCGUGUUUAGUCGUUGGACCGCAGUAUGUAUCGAGCGCCAAAGUAUCUAAAAUACGUCGGCGUAAACGCUCGCUCGAAUAACGGAUAGUCGGUUAAUAGUGUUGGUAUCUGCUCGCAGGUGCUAGCCUAUUCGAUUCGGCUUUGAAGUUGUCGGCGAUGUUAAGACGUAUUGGCGUCCGCGGUGUCAGUGUCGGCCACCCGUCCGACCCGUCUUGAAACACGGACCAAGGAGUCUAACAUAUGCGCGAGCUAAUGGGUGGAAAACCCAAAGGCGCAAUAAAAGUAAACGCUGUUUCGGACAGCUAAGGUACGAUCCUAUGAUUCGAGCAAUUAUAGGCGCAGUACCGUCCCGUCCCGACCGCACAUCGGUAGGGCGGAGAUAGAGUGCAUACGUUGGGACCCGAAAGAUGGUGAACUAUGCCUGAGCAGAGCGAAGCCAGAGGAAACUCUGGUGGAGGUUCGUAGCGGUUCUGACGUGCAAAUCGAUCGUCAGACUUGGGUAUAGGGGCGAAAGACUAAUCGAACCAUCUGUAA
rnacentral:rRNA from 1 species